CGGCACCUGAAAGGUGCCGGGAUUUUAAGGUAUUCACAUACCUGAAUAGGCCGGAGUCGGCCUGUAAGCCGGGUUCUGUUCCGGGUUGCCCC
rnacentral:tRNA from 1 species